rnacentral:misc_RNA from 1 species
GUAAGUACUGUACAGUACUAUUGUCUCCUACUCUCCUGUUGUAUCAUUGGUCCUCUCUCUGUCUCUCUGUCUCUCUCCCUCUGAGGUUGCUGCUACAAAAAAGAAGUCCAAGAAGAAGGGAGGAGGAAGUGGUGGUGGUGGUGCUAGUGGUCCAGUCACUAAAACUACAUCUGCUGGAAAAGACUUGUCUCAAGGAAAGUUAUGGAAACUGUUAGUGGAAGAUGUACUUCAGCAUUUCCUGUACACAUUGGAAUAUAAUUCUGUAACUCACAUGUGUACUACUUGUGGUGUUAGCAGAGUGUCUCUUCUCAGGGAAUUCUGUAACAAAACAGGAGUACAGAUUACAUUGAAGGAUUACAAAUUUUCCUUGACUGCUCCAUUGAAUGAAGGUGAUCUUGCCUGUAUUGUACCUGUUGUUAAGCACACUGAUUUUAAAGUGAUCUAAUUUUUUUUGGAAUUCUAAUCCAGUGAAAUUACAAUCACAGUGAAAAAUUUUCAGAUCGAUGCCUCUUGAAGCCUCUGGUUUGUAUGAGUUGGCUCAGGUUCAGUUGCAGUCUGGUAAUAUUGAAGUUGCUCUUGACUAUCUAUCUGGAGCUGUGCAAUUGUUUGCUCAAGUCUUUGGGCCACAACAUGUCAACAUAGCUAACUGUUAUAAAGUUAUUGCAUGAAUUCAUCAUGCUCUAGGAGACAGUAAACUAGUAAGUGGUGC